CGCCCCCGAGGCGCGCGAGUGGGUGUGUGCGCGGGGGAGGGCGGCCAAACUUCCUGUCCCGCGCUCGAGCUGCUUCCGGCGGGAGCCGGAAGACGCCGUGUGUGGACGGGAUUCGGGACUGACUGACGGCCGGCCGGCUGCCCGGGACGGGAGGUUAAAUUGAUUAUCUACCCAGUGCAGGAUCUUACAAGAACAGCAUAGUGUUUCCUGAAGGAAUAUGAGCAAAACCAGACAGUAUCAUUGACUGAAUAAAUUUGUACUUGUCCCCUGAACGGCUACAAGAUUUGGAAGCUGAAUCAAUGUUAUCAGAUGAGUUAGAAUCCAAACCAGAGCUCCUGGUACAGUUUGUUCAGAAUACGUCCAUCCCGUUGGGACAGGGGCUAGUAGAAUCAGAAGCUAAAGACAUAACUUGCUUGUCCCUCCUUCCGGUGACUGAGGCCUCAGAAUGCGGCCGACUAAUGUUACCAGAUGAUACUCCAAAUCACACCAGCUCUUCCAAAGAGGUCCCUUCCUCUGCUGUACUAAGAAGCCUUCAGGUGAAUGUGGGCCCAGACGGAGAAGAAACGAGGGCUCAGGCAGUACAGAAGUCCCCGGAGUUUUUGACCACUGCAGAGUCUCCUAGCUUGUUGCAAGAUCUACAGCCAAGUGACAGCACUUCUUUUAUUCUCCUUAACCUAACAAGAACAGGUCUGGGCUCAUCUGCCGAGCACUUAGUGUUUGUACAGGAUGAAGCAGAGGAUUCAGGGAAUGAUUUUCUCUCCAGUGAGAGCACGGACAGUAGCAUCCCCUGGUUCCUGCGGGUUCAGGAGUUGGCCCAUGACAGUUUGAUUGCUGCCACUCGUGCACAACUUGCAAAGAACGCGAAAUCCAGCAGCAAUGGAGAAAAUGUCCACCUUGGUUCUAGUGAUGGGCAACCCAAAGAUUCCGGGCCCCUUCCUCAAGUGGAAAAGAAGCUGAAAUGUACAGUUGAAGGCUGUGAUCGGACGUUUGUGUGGCCAGCUCACUACAAGUACCACCUCAAAACUCAUCGAAAUGACCGCUCCUUCAUCUGCCCUGCAGAAGGUUGUGGGAAAAGCUUCUAUGUGCUGCAGAGGCUGAAGGUGCACAUGAGGACCCACAAUGGGGAGAAGCCCUUUAUGUGCCCUGAGCCUAGCUGUGGUAAGCAGUUUACCACAGCUGGUAACCUGAAGAACCACCUGCGCAUCCACACAGGAGAGAAGCCUUUCCUUUGUGAAGCCCAAGGAUGUGGCCGAUCCUUUGCUGAGUAUUCUAGCCUCCGAAAACACCUGGUGGUUCACUCAGGAGAGAAGCCUCAUCAGUGCCAAGUCUGUGGGAAGACCUUCUCUCAGAGUGGGAGCAGGAACGUGCACAUGAGACGGCAUCACCUGCAGCUGGGGGCAGCUGGCAGUCAAGAGCAGGAGCAAGCUGCUGAGCCACUCAUGGGCAGUAGUUUGCUUGAAGAGGCUUCAGUUCCCAGUAAAAACCUGGUGUCUAUGAAUUCCCAGCCCAGCCUUGGUGGAGAGUCCUUGAACCUACCAAAUACCAAUUCUAUCCUGGGAGUUGAUGAUGACGUUUUUCUGCUGUUCCAUAGAGGUGCUUGCCGAAGGAUCUCCACGUGCCCUGACUUCAGUGCCUGAUGUGACACAUCACUUGGUGACCAUGCAGUCAGGGAGGCAGUCUUACGAGGUUUCUGUCUUGACGGCAGUAAACCCACAGGAGUUACUAAACCAAGGAGAUUUAACUGAAAGACGGACAUGAAUAUGGGUGCUGGGUCCUGGAAGAGCAGCUCUGAUUCCAGAGUGCGUGCAGUGGGACCUGGAUGCAGUGGCUUGCUGUCUGCCAUAACCAGAACGGAUCUGUGAAGGCCAACACCACGCUUCUGCCCGUGCUCACCUGCCCUGGCGUGGAAGGUUGACGUAAGCAGGCUUCUCUUCAAACUGCCGUCUGAUCAGACAAGGAGCCAGGUGCUGGCUAUGGGCUGCCUACCUGUAGCUGCCUCUCUUCCUGCUGCAAAACUGUGGGAUAGACAUCUCCCGGAAGUGCAUUUGAUUGUGUGUGGGCUGAGGCUGCUCCUUGGGACGGCUGAGGGGAGGUUUCCUUUGAAGAGUUUUCAGCCCACACUCAGCUCUCUUUCACGUGGAUGAACCAAGUCCUGCCACCACCCAUGGAGCUUCACCAGGAAGUUGAGCUUUCAAGAUGCCUUGUUGCUUUGAAGAAGGGAGUGAUGUCAGUCUGUUGCCAUUCUCCCUUUAGCAACCUGAGUAAGAGACUCUGCCACUGGGCUGCAAAAAAUAAAUUACUUGAAUCUCCCCUUGGCCCAGGCUAAGUACUGUCUUGUCCUGUGCACCUCUACUUGGUCACUUUGCUUCCUUCGUUUAUGAAACAUUCAGAAGCAUGUUGAGGGUUUUUUUUUUAAAGUUAAAAAUCAGUGAUUCAGAGCUUCAGUUUUCCUUUUAAAUAAACAAAAUAGCCCAGUGA